rnacentral:rRNA from 1 species
AACGCGAAGAACCUUACCAAGGUUUGACAUGCAGGGAAAAGCCGUAGAGAUACGGUGUCCGUAAGGGCCCUGCACAGGUGGUGCAUGGCUGUCGUCAGCUCGUGUCGUGAGAUGUUGGGUUAAGUCCCGCAACGAGCGCAACCCUCGUCCUAUGUUGCCAGCGGGUAAUGCCGGGGACUCAUAGGAGACUGCCGGGGUCAACUCGGAGGAAGGUGGGGAUGACGUCAAGUCAUCAUGCCCCUUAAGUCUUGGGCUGCAAACAUGCUACAAUGGCCGGUACAGAGGGCUGCGAGACCGCAAGGUGGAGCGAAUCUCAAAAAGCCGGUCUCAGUUCGGAUUGGGGUCUGCAACUCGACCCCAUGAAGUCGGAGUCGCUAGUAAUCGCGAAUCAGCAACGUCGCGGUGAAUACGUUCCCGGGCCUUGUA